rnacentral:tRNA from 1 species
GGCCUCAUGGCGGAAUGGUAGACGCCGGGGAUUUAAAAUCCUCUGCCCGAAAGGGCGUCCCGGUUCGAGUCCGGGUGGGGCUA